UGUACUGAUUAGUUUCAAGAACUACAAUUAUAAAUUAUUCCAACUCAAUAUUCUUUAUUUUUAACAACAAAAACUUAAAUAAUUGAGUAAAUUGCCCUGUGCAAGUGCUCAUGGGAAGUCUGGUGUAACAUCAGAGACAAGAAGGCUGUGAGGAUGUGAGAAUGGACAUGAAGCAUCUGGGACAUUCUGGAACAUUCCUUACAAAUCCUGCACCAACACCACUAAUGAAGAGAAGUUGAAUAGAGAUAAAACAGGAGGUGCCAGCAUUAUGGGAUGGCGGUGUAAGCUCUGCACAUUUGUCGUAUCAUCAAA